UGGGGAAUAUUGCACAAUGGGCGAAAGCCUGAUGCAGCAACGCCGCGUGAGCGAUGAAGGCCUUCGGGUCGUAAAGCUCUGUCCUAUGGGAAGAUAAUGACGGUACCAUAGGAGGAAGCCCCGGCUAACUGCGUGCCAGCAGCCGCGGUAAUACGUAGGGGGCAAGCGUUAUCCGGAAUUACUGGGCGUAAAGGGUGCGUAGGCGGUUUAUCAAGUCAGGGGUGAAAGGCUACGGCUCAACCGUAGUAAGCCUCUGAAACUGGUGAACUUGAGUGUAGGAGAGGAAAGUGGAAUUCCCAGUGUAGCGGUGAAAUGCGUAGAUAUUGGGAGGAACACCAGUGGCGAAGGCGACUUUCUGGACUAUAACUGACGCUGAGGCACGAAAGCGUGGGGAGCAAACAGG
rnacentral:rRNA from 1 species